AAUGGCACUGCCCGGUAGCUAAAUGCGGAAGAGAUAAGUGCUGAAAGCAUCUAAGCACGAAACUUGCCCCGAGAUGAGUUCUCCCUGAGACUUAGAGUCUCCUGAAGGAACGUUGAAGACGACGACGUUGAUAGGCCGGGUGUGUAAGCGCAGCGAUGCGUUGAGCUAACCGGUACUAAUGAACCGUGAGGCUUAACCUUACAACGCCGAAG
rnacentral:rRNA from 5 species